GUUUUGCGUUAGGGAUAGUAGCGGUAUCCUUUUUAUUUUGUUUUAGGAUUUUGCUUUUUUACAAAAUAAAAAUAUAUAGCGAAUAGCCCGCCGUUUG
rfam:Mesonia phycicola strain DSM 21425 genome assembly, contig: Ga0070602_108